ACUCCUGGAAAUAACAAUAACAGCACAUCUCAAACUUCAUAAUCUACCGUGAUCUGCCACAGUAUAUUUCAGCUGGAGUACACUCUAGAAAUGAUUUUUAAAGUAAACUUGGAUAUAAAAUGUCCAGAAAACAUUAAGGUAAAGAGAACAUGCAGGUAAAAUGUAAUUAACAUGGCAAUAAUGUUGCAAUUUAAAAAAAUUUUAAUUGUAACAAAAAUACACUUUAUUUCCUUUUUUUAGGUUUUGGGGUAAAAUUAGACAUUUACAUAAUUAUGUGUUCAACCUUUGUAUUUAUAAAGUGAGUAUCAUGCACUAAAAAAAAAAUAUAUUUGAAACCAUUUUCACUUCAAAAUUACUAGUAAAUUUAACAAAUUAGGCAAUUACAGAAAAAUGGCACAUAACACAUUAAAUUAAAUGUGAAAUUUUGAAAUUGAAAAAAAAAAAGAUCUUCUCAUAAAACGCACACAAAUAAUCUUAUUUUUUAUAUUCUGCUUGGUGAUUAUUUUUUUUUUAGUUGAUGCCCAUUUUUCAAAUCUAGUACGUUUAACAGUUUGUUAAAAAAACAAUACAUCUACAUAAAUUAAACAAAGCAAUAACAUCCUGAUUUAAAAUAAUUUUGUCAUGUUUUAUAAAUAUUUUUGUGUAAAAAAAAAAAAAUAACACCAUGACAAAGAAAAAUUCUUAUAAAUGAAUGCCUGUUUUUCAAGUAAAUUAUAACCUGGAUAUGCUGAAACCAGUUAUUGCUCCAGCUGCAUUUAUUGUAUUUUAUAACACAAGUCUAUUUGAUACAUAUUUAAUAUGAUGCUGCAUUAAUAUGAACCAGUAUAAUCAUUUAGACUCUAUAAGAAAGCGUAAAUUAAAUGAGUGGAAGCGUGAGCUCUUACCUGAUCUGAUCCGUCUGCUGUGAUUCUGCUCUGUGAGUGUGAGUGUGUGUGUGUGCGUGUGUGUGUGUGGGGCUCUCGAAGCUCUUGAGAAGUUCUCAUGACCGUCACGGGUUCAGUCCUCCAUCUGACUGUCUGCUGACCGCCUUCACUGCGAUAACUGACCUCAGAUCAGAGGAAACGCUCUAACCAGAUUACAGACUAAACUAAUGUUUAUGCUUGAGUUAACAGUGUGUGAAAAUACUUUCUCUGGGACUUGAAACACACACAGGUCUGUUCAGAGAGGAAUACUGUCUGAAGAAUCAUCUCUGUGUUCAUUCUCAAUACAAGGACUUUUUUUUAUUAAUGUUUUAAUUUCAUUAAGAUAUAGAAGAUGAUUGAGAUGUAAAGUUACUCCUGGAGCUCGCUAUAUCCUGAAGCUGCAGUGAAACAAAACCAGGACUGUUCCAAAGCUUCAGAAGAUGAGAUCUGAUGAGCUGCUGUAAUACUGAAGAUCUCCAGCAGAGAGCGACACUUCACUGUCUGAGAUGUGCUGAAGUGUGUGUACAUCUGAAGUGUGUGUCUCUAGAUCUGAAGUGUGUCUCUAGAUCUUAAGUGUUUUCUAGAUUUGAAGUGUAUGUCUUAGUAGAUCUUGUCCAGAUCUAAAGUUUUUGUCUAGAACUGAAGUGUGUCUACAUCUGAAGUGUUUUUCUAGAUCUUAAGUGUUUUCCAGAUUUGAAGUGUAUGUCCAGAUCUAAAGUGUGUCUCUAGAUUUGAAGUGUUUUUCUAGAUUUGUAGUGUGUGUGUCUACAUCUGAAAUGUGUCUCUAGAUUUGAAGUGUGUCUCUAGAUCUCCAGUCUUUUUCUAGAUUUGAAGUGUAUGUCUAGAACUGAAGUGUUUUUCUAGAUCUCAAGUCUUUUUCUAGAUUUGAAGUGUUUUCUAGAUCUGAAAUGUAUGUCUAGAACUGAAGUGUUUUUCUAGAUCUCAAGUCUUUUUCUAGAUUUGAAGUGUUUUUCUAGAGCUGAGGUGUGUGUCUAGAUCUGCUUCUGGUUUAUAUUCAGAAGUGUGUACAGUCAGAGCUCAAGUCUGUGUUUUCAUAAUGUCUGAAUAUCCCAGUAUUUUAUUCUCGUCUUCUAGAGGACAUCAGAUGUAGUGAAUGUCUCUGAAACUGUCCAUGGCACUUUACUUUGACAGUAAAUGAUCUGAUUUUUUGGUUUU